AGAGUUUGAUCCUGGCUCAGAUUGAACGCUGGCGGCAGGCCUAACACAUGCAAGUCGAACGGUAACAGGAAGUGCUUGCACUUCGCUGACGAGUGGCGGACGGGUGAGUAAUGCUUGGGAACUUGCCUUUGCGAGGGGGAUAACUAUUGGAAACGAUAGCUAAUACCGCAUAAUGUCUUCGAACCAAAGUGGGCUUAGGCUCACGCGCAAAGAGAGGCCCAAGUGAGAUUAGCUAGUUGGUAGGGUAAAGGCUUACCAAGGCGACGAUCUCUAGCUGUUCUGAGAGGAAGAUCAGCCACACUGGGACUGAGACACGGCCCAGACUCCUACGGGAGGCAGCAGUGGGGAAUAUUGCACAAUGGGGGGAACCCUGAUGCAGCCAUGCCGCGUGUGUGAAGAAGGCCUUCGGGUUGUAAAGCACUUUCAGUGGUGAGGAAAAGUUAGUAGUUAAUACCUGCUAUCCGUGACGUUAACCACAGAAGAAGCACCGGCUAACUCCGUGCCAGCAGCCGCGGUAAUACGGAGGGUGCGAGCGUUAAUCGGAAUUACUGGGCGUAAAGCGCACGCAGGCGGUUUGUUAAGCUAGAUGUGAAAGCCCCGCGCUUAACGUGGGAUGGUCAUUUAGAACUGGCAGACUAGAGUCUUGGAGAGGGGAGUGGAAUUUCUGGUGUAGCGGUGAAAUGCGUAGAGAUCAGAAGGAACAUCAAUGGCGAAGGCAGCUCUCUGGCCAAAGACUGACGCUCAUGUGCGAAAGUGUGGGUAGCGAACAGGAUUAGAUACCCUGGUAGUCCACACCGUAAACGCUGUCUACUAGCUGUAUGUGUAUUUAAUACGUGUGUAGCGAAGCUAACGCGCUAAGUAGACCGCCUGGGGAGUACGGUCGCAAGAUUAAAACUCAAAUGAAUUGACGGGGGCCCGCACAAGCGGUGGAGCAUGUGGUUUAAUUCGAUGCAACGCGAAGAACCUUACCUAC
rnacentral:rRNA from 1 species